GGGGCCGUAGUCUAGUCUGGAUAAGGCACCAGCCUUCGGAGUUGGGCAUCCCCGGUUCAAAUCCGGGCGGUCCCGCCA
rnacentral:tRNA from 1 species